CAAUAGUAUAUAUCAGUGAAUUGAUAUUAGUUAAUAGUUUUUGGAAACAGUACCAUAUGAACUUUCUUACUUCGGUUGGAGGAGAUGAGAAACAACUUACAGCGGCAAUCUUAAUACAGCUAAUGGCCAAAGAAGUAUGUUUUUCAUACUCAGUGUAUG